AGGAGGAGUGCCAGCUCCAUGAGGACAGAGAGCUUGUCCGAUUUGCUCAUUGGCGCAUCCCCAGCAAAAAAUAGGUCAUCAAGAAAUAUUUGCAAGGUACAAAGAGUGGCCACUCCUUGAAAACCAGAAGCACACCCACAAUGACCAGCGGGUGCCCAGGCCUGGCCUUGAAGUAAGAAGGCACCAGAAGUCGACAGGAUAAGUCUCCUCCCCAGGGCACCGAUGACGAUGGGAUGAGCCGGUGGCAAGCAUUUGCAAGAAAGAACAUGAGGCUGGAAGAGCUGCAGGCAUGAGAGGAAAGCCUGAGCUUCUAGGAGGCCGGAAGGUGGUCGCUGCAGAAGGUGCUGACCCCAGGAUUCGUGGCUGCAGGAAGGAGCCUACUGACGGCAUGCUAGGGGACUCAUUUCAGCUGGUUUGAGCUGCCAGUUCUCAUCGGUGCUUGGUCUGUCUGCCCAGUAGCGAUUAGCCAGGUCGUAGCCGAGUGACGGUUUCCAGCCCAGAGCAGACUGCAUUUCCUCACUCCGAGUGGCUCAGGGGAGUCCUCUUUCACCCCACCACAGGUGCAUGUGAGAGUCGCAGCCGUCCCACCGUCUCUUCUUUGUCUGCCGUGACACACGCCGUCUGUCACACAGUGUUCAUCCAGUUUAUAACGUGAGGAAGCUGGGACGCAGAGCGCGGGGAGAAGAGCAUUUGUGGAGAUAAAGUCUGCCCACCCAGCCGUUUGCCCGCCUGGUGAGCCCGGUGGCCUGGGGACACGUCCAGGAGCCAGUACCAGGGAGCCUCCACUCCUGGGAGAUGGUUACCGCGCCGGGAGAAGUCUGCCCCCUGCACAUCAAGCCAGGGAGGCAGCGUCUUGCAGGAGUGAGAUGGGCCGAGGUAGCAGUGCGGCCCUUCCUCACACGGAGCAGCUGGCCGGUCGUGAUCAGGGAGGAGCCGGUCACUGCUGGGGCGCCCCGGGUGCUCAGGAAAGACCUGGCAAAUGGUGCACGAGGAAGGUGAUGAGCCAUCAAACCCGGUUCUGGUUUCAGCCUUCAAGAGCCAUGGGUGGUCGAGGGGGCUACGGUUGGGGUCUGGGGAAGAUGCGGUGUCCCAGGCGUUGGACGGCAGAUGUGGGCUGCCGCUCGUCUAUGUAGUGUCUUUGUAUGAAUCGGGGGGAAGAAAAAGCGCCCCUUCUGGGCUGACACAGCCCCACGCUUGGGCACAAGGCUGGCAAGUUGGAGGUGCCUCUGUCCAAAGAAAGAGUGUUCAUUACUCUGGGUGGGCACGAGCGCGGGGCAGGCCCCUGGGUCUCAGCUCCCACUUACCCUCUCCGCUGGCAGCCGUCACGCAGCACGUGAAUUGCACAACCGCACACUUGUGGCCCGGAAGGCGUAACUUUGGGGGCAUUUAGAAAGGCGAGGUGGGAGAAGAGUGACGUGGUAACCGAUGGUUCCACCGUUAUUUAGGGUUGCUUUUCUCCAAGCGUGGAACUCCUUAUCAGAAUCACCUCAAGCACUUGACAAGGAUGCAUAUUCCUGGGACCCACCUCAGAAUAACUGAAUUAAACUCUCUGAAGGGUGGGGCCCGGCAAUCAGGACUUUUAACCAGCUGCCCAAGAUGUUUCUAAUGCCCACCAAAGCCCACGAAUUGCUGGCUGAGCGGCUGUUCUCUCAGAAGUCCUUGGGAUCUGCAUAUUUGGGGAUCUAGAACGAUCUGACUGGACAGAGGAACAACAGACCAUGCUUCCCUGGAGCUCUGCGGUAUCAUCUCAUGGGUCCUUGAGGUCUCCCUGAAGGCUGCUUCUCUGGGGUUAGGGGCUGAUGUCAUUGUUUUUUCUGGCACCACUGCUUUGCUGUUUCUAAAAAGCACUUUUUAAAGUAUCAGCUUUUAGGAUAAAAACUCUAGGAAUCUUGAAGCAAAGAGUGGGUACAACUCAUAAUGCCACCCUUGACCUUCCUUCUCAGCCUCAGGCUCGUUUCCUGCCUCCGGGUCUUGUGGUUGAGAAUGUUUCCGGCUGAAUCCCUUUAAAGGAAGUCUUCUGGAGACAUUUUGUUUCCAUCUUCCAUGAAGGUUAAAUUACAUUAUCCUAAAUUCCAAGAGGCUGAUCAGCUUGCUUUGUUGAACUGGUAUUUCUGUCAUUUUGAGUAAUGCUUGAAAUAUGAAUGUGAUGGCCCAUAUCUGGCCACCCGUCUUUUAUGUAGAGAGUUUCACUGGAGCAGAAUUUUAGCUGAGCUCACAUGUACAGAUAGCCAUUGCUCUGGGCCACAGGGCCUCAUUUGUACAGCUCAGCCUCCCUCCCUUGGGGAAUGAAGUCAUUCAUACUCAUUGUUCACUACUAUAGAAGGAAUGUUUGUGUCCCCUCAAAACUCAUAUGUUAAAUCCCAACUUCCCACGUGAUGAUCCUUGGAAUUGAGGCCUUUGGGAGGUCAUUAGGUCAUGCGGGUAGAGCCCUCAUGAAUGGGGAUUAGUGCCCUUAUGAAAGAGAUCCCACAGAGCUCCCUUGCCCCAUGCCGCUCACCCCCUGUGAGGACUCAUCAAGAAGAUGGCCAUCUGGGAACCAGGAGACAAGCCGUCAGCAGACACUGAGUCUGCCGGCAUCUUGAUCUCGGUCUUCCCAGCCUUCAGAACUGUGAGAAAUAAGUGUUUGUUGUUUAAGCCCCCCAGUCUAUGGUAUUUUUGUUACAGUAGCCUGAACGAAGACGGUCACGUUGUUGACCUGGUGUCAAGCACAGUGCAAGAUACACCAGUGUGGGUGGUGGAGCACUGCCUUCAAGGUGUUUGAUCUAGAACCCCGCUGUCCAGUAUGGUAGCCACCAGCCACAUGUGGCUGUUGACCACUUGAAAUGUCCCAAUGGAGAUAUGCUAGAAGUGUAAAAUACACACUAGAUUGGAAAGACUUUGUAGGAAAAAAAAAAAAGCAUGUGAA